rnacentral:rRNA from 1 species
UACGUAGGGUGCAAGCGUUGCCCGGAUUUAUUGGGCGUAAAGCGCGCGUAGGCGGUUCGUUAUGUCGGAUGUGAAAGCCCUUGGCUUAACCGAGGAAGUGCAUCCGAAACUGGCGAGCUAGAGUACGAAAGAGGAUCGCGGAAUUCCCGGUGUAGAGGUGAAAUUCGUAGAUAUCUGGAGGAACACCGGUGGCGAAGGCGGCGACCUGGGUCGAUACUGACGCUGAGGUGCGAAAGCGUGGGGAGCAAACAGG